GAGUUGGCCAGACAAUCGCUGUAGUUCGCUAUAGAGGAAAGUCCGGGCUCCUUCGGACAGGGCGCCAGGUAACGCCUGGGAGGCGCGAGCCUAUGGAAAGUGCCACAGAAAAUAUACCGCCGGCGCGAUCCUCGGAUCAUCGUCGGUAAGGGUGAAAAGGUGCGGUAAGAGCGCACCGCGCGACCGGUAACGGUUCGUGGCAUGGUAAACCCCGCCCGGAGCAAGACCAAAUAGGGGAGUAUGCAGGCUUAGCUUGCACCGUCGGUCCCGAGCGGACUCCCGGGUAGGUUGCUUGAGGUGGCUGGUGACAGUCAUCCCAGAUGAAUGAUUGUUCUCGACAGAACCCGGCUUAUUGCUGG
rnacentral:RNase_P_RNA from 1 species